GAGUUUGAUCCUGGCUCAGAUUGAACGCUGGCGGCAGGCUUAACACAUGCAAGUCGAACGGUAACAAGAGUGCUUGCACUUGAUGACGAGUGGCGGACGGGUGAGUAAUGUAUGGGGAUCUGCCGAAUGGAGGGGGACAACAGUUGGAAACGACUGCUAAUACCGCAUAAUGUUGAGAAACCAAAGCAUGGGACCUUCGGGCCAUGCGCCAUUUGAUGAACCCAUAUGGGAUUAGCUAGUUGGUAGGGUAAAGGCUUACCAAGGCGACGAUCUCUAGCUGGUCUGAGAGGAUGACCAGCCACACUGGAACUGAGACACGGUCCAGACUCCUACGGGAGGCAGCAGUGGGGAAUAUUGCACAAUGGGGGGAACCCUGAUGCAGCCAUGCCGCGUGUAUGAAGAAGGCCUUCGGGUUGUAAAGUACUUUCGGUGAUGAGGAAGGUGACGUAUCUNAUAGGUAUGUUAAUUGACGUUAAUUACAGAAGAAGCACCGGCUAACUCCGUGCCAGCAGCCGCGGUAAUACGGAGGGUGCGAGCGUUAAUCGGAAUGACUGGGCGUAAAGGGCAUGUAGGCGGAUAAUUAAGUUAGGUGUGAAAGCCCUGGGCUCAACCUAGGAAUUGCACUUAAAGCUGGUUAACUAGAGUAUUGUAGAGGAAGGUAGAAUUCCACGUGUAGCGGUGAAAUGCGUAGAGAUGUGGAGGAAUACCGGUGGCGAAGGCGGCCUUCUGGACAGAUACUGACGCUGAGAUGCGAAAGCGUGGGGAGCAAACAGGAUUAGAUACCCUGGUAGUCCACGCUGUAAACGAUGUCGAUUUGGAGUUUGUUGCCUUGAGUGAUGGGCUCCGAAGCUAACGCGAUAAAUCGACCGCCUGGGGAGUACGGCCGCAAGGUUAAAACUCAAAUGAAUUGACGGGGGCCCGCACAAGCGGUGGAGCAUGUGGUUUAAUUCGAUGCAACGCGAAGAACCUUACCUGGUCUUGACAUCCACAGAAUCUUGCAGAGAUGCGGGAGAGCCUUCGGGAACUGUGAGACAGGUGCUGCAUGGCUGUCGUCAGCUCGUGUUGUGAAAUGUUGGGUUAAGUCCCGCAACGAGCGCAACCCUUAUCCUUUGUUGCCAUCGGUUUGGCCGGGAACUCAAAGGAGACUGCCGUUGAUAAAGCGGAGGAAGGUGGGGACGACGUCAAGUCAUCAUGGCCCUUACGACCAGGGCUACACACGUGCUACAAUGGCGUAUACAAAGGGAGGCGA
rnacentral:rRNA from 1 species